AGGAUGAACGCUAGCGGCAGGCCUAAUACAUGCAAGUCGAGGGGAUUGGGACUUCGGUUCCAUGAGACCGGCGCACGGGUGCGUAACGCGUAUGCAACCUACCUUCAUCAGGGGGAUAGCCCGAAAGAAAUUCGGAUUAACACCGCAUAAAACCACAGUACAGCAUUGUACAAUGGUCAAAUAUUCAUAGGAUGGAGAUGGGCAUGCGUGCCAUUAGCUAGUUGGCAGGGUAACGGCCUACCAAGGCGACGAUGGCU
rnacentral:rRNA from 1 species